UAUCAUCGUCACGAUGUACUGGUAUCCGC
rnacentral:sRNA from 1 species